GUCGGAUAACUGGGGUGAAGUCGUAACAAGGUAGCCGUAGGAGAACCUGCGGCUGGAUCACCUCCUUUCUAAGGAA
rnacentral:rRNA from 1 species